rfam:Candidatus Nomurabacteria bacterium RIFCSPHIGHO2_02_FTLL_35_13 rifcsphigho2_02_scaffold_5137, whole genome shotgun sequence.
GUUGGUGAUUUGUCGUAAGGGUCACACCUCUUCCCAUUCCGAACAGAGAAGUUAAGCCUUAUUGAGCCGAUGAUACUCCAAAAGGGGAAAGUAGGCUGUCGCCAGCA